AUGAAAGAAUUAAAGGUUUCUGUUAAAGCUUUAAAAUAUCUAGUUUUGAAGCUAAAUCCGCCACAACAGUUUAAUUGAUGAUAGGAAACUUGUUUUAAGGCAACCCCGUCUCAUAUCUAUCAAUCUCACUCACUGUGUUGCUUAGUGAAAAAUCUGAUUUUCAAAACAUUUUGACGCUACACUUAAUUGUAAACGUUGACUUAGAUCAUUGAGAGAAAAUACAUCCGAGCAUUUU